rnacentral:rRNA from 1 species
GACGAACGCUGGCGGCGGGCUUAACACAUGCAAGUCGAGCGGAAAGGCUCUGCUUUCGUGGGGUGCCGGAGUGGCAAAGGGGGGGAAAGCACGUGAGUAACCUGCCUAUGACUGUGGGAUAACUGCAAGAAACUGGGACUAACACCGGGUAGGAGCUCCUGCUGCAGGGGGGGGGUUGGAGAGUUUCGGCGGAUGGGGCUGGACUCGGGGCUUGUCAGCUUGUGGGCGGGGUCGUGGCUUACCACAGCAUUGGCGGGUAGCGGGCCUGGAAGGGUGGCCGGCCACAUUGGGACUGAGAUACGGCCCAGACCCCUACGGGAGGCAACGGUGGGGAAUAUUGUACAGUGGGCGGAAGCCUGAUGCGGCAACGCCGCGUGCGGGAUGACGGCCAUCGGGUUGUGAAGCGCUGUCGCUUUAGACGAAGCGUGAGUGACGGUAAUGGGUGAAGAAGCCCCGGCUAACUACGUG